rnacentral:misc_RNA from 1 species
UACGGAGGGGGCUAGCGUUGUUCGGAAUUACUGGGCGUAAAGGGCGCGUAGGCGGAUAUUCAAGUCGGGGGUGAAAUCCCGGGGCUCAACCCCGGAACUGCCUCCGAUACUGGAUGUCUUGAGGACGGAAGAGGCGAGUGGAAUGCCGAGUGUAGAGGUAAAAUUCGUAGAUAUUCGGAAGAACGCCAGUGGCGAAGGCGAUUCGCUGGACAGUUAUUGACGCUGAGGCGCGAAAGCGUGGGGAGCAAACAGG